CACGUAGGAGGCGAGCGUUGUCCGGAAUCAUUGAGCGUAAAGAGCGCGCAGGCGGCUUGGCAAGUCGGGUGUGAAAUCCCGAGGCUCAACCUCGGGUCUGCAUCCGAUACUGCCCGGCUAGAGGUAGGUAGGGGAGAUCGGAAUUCCUGGUGUAGCGGUGAAAUGCGCAGAUAUCAGGAGGAACACCGGUGGCGAAGGCGGAUCUCUGGGCCUUACCUGACGCUCAGGCGCGAAAGCUAGGGGAGCGAACUGG
rnacentral:rRNA from 1 species